GUUCUUUUGUCACAAUAGAACUGGUCUAUCAUAAUAGGUGUUUGAACUUCAGAGACUUGUAUGUUUGAGAACCUCACGUCUUGAACCAGCCCUAUACCACCCUGCAAGGAGAAUUCAGUUUGUUUAGCUCAGUGUAUGCCGUCAGUGUUGAGACUGUUCUCAGGGGAGGAUAUUGUCAGGUCGUGGACCAGCACUCCUUGACAGUUGUCGAACUUGAGAUGGCACUGUGAGCUGUUGACAAUAGUGAUACCAGCCACUACGACGUUGGAACUACCAUAAAACCUCAAUGCCUGCAUCAGAGUUUAACCUGUGGCAUCCUCUCAAGCUCCUGAUUGUACUGCACGAGUAUAUCCAAGGAGUGAAGCAUGCUGUGCCCUUUAUUCACGAGUGGGGAUGGAUAACUUCGGCACCAGAUUUUGUGGAGAAACAAAACCACCAAUAUCAUUUGUAGCAUAUAUGCUCUCCUGUGGUCCAAAGAGAUCACGUGCAAUUAUAGCGCGAGUGUGUCCAAUUUGGCAGCUAAUCCAAAGAAGAUGCAGAAUACUCUACCAGAAAAUGAUUAACCUAAGCGAGGCCACCUUGCCGAUGUACGGAAUUACCUACUCAUGCUCCAGUUGGGUGAAACAACUCUGUUCUGUUCAAAGAAAUGAUGAGGUGAGUAGGCACAAUUAGCAUCUCCAGCAAAUUUAACAGUCUGUUCUGUUAAUCAGGCAUCCUUGGUUGGUUU